rnacentral:rRNA from 1 species
GAUGAACGCUGGCGGCGUGCCUAAUACAUGCAAGUCGAGCGAACAGACGAGGAGCUUGCUCCUUUGACGUUAGCGGCGGACGGGUGAGUAACACGUGGAUAACCUACCUAUAAGACUGGGAUAACUUCGGGAAACCGGAGCUCAUACCGGAUAACAUGUUGAACCGCAUGGUUCAACAGUGAAAGACGGUCUUGCUGUCACUUAUAGAUGGAUCCGCGCCGCAUUAGCUAGUUGGUAAGGUAACGGCUUACCAAGGCAACGAUGCGUAGCCGACCUGAGAGGGUGAUCGGCCACACUGGAACUGAGACACGGUCCAGACUCCUACGGGAGGCAGCAGUAGGGAAUCUUCCGCAAUGGGCGAAAGCCUGACGGAGCAACGCCGCGUGAGUGAAGAAGGUCUUCGGAUCGUAAAACUCUGUUAUUAGGGAAGAACAAAUGUGUAAGUAACUAUGCACGUCUUGACGGUACCUAAUCAGAAAGCCACGGCUAACUACGUG